rnacentral:rRNA from 1 species
UUCAAUUAUUUUAAGCCUCUGGCUAUAGGAAAUUGUUAGUGGCAGACGGGUGAGUAAUGCGUAGGAAUCUACCUAGUAGUACGGAAUAGCCAUUAGAAAUGGUGGGUAAUACUGUAUAAUCCCCGAGGGGGAAAGAUUUAUCGCUAUUAGAUGAGCCUACGUUAGAUUAGCUAGUUGGUGAGGUAAUGGCUUACCAAGGCUAUGAUCUAUAGCUGGUCUGAGAGGACGAUCAGCCACACUGGAACUGAGAUACGGUCCAGACUCCUACGGGAGGCAGCAGUGGGGAAUAUUGGACAAUGGGCGAAAGCCUGAUCCAGCUAUGCCGCGUGAGUGAAGAAGGCCUUCGGGUUGUAAAACUCUUUCAAUAGGGAAGAUAAUGACGGUACCUAUAAAAGG